CCCAAGCUGGGCUUGAACUUGUGGUUCUUACUUGGUUCAGGCUGCUCCCUGCCUCGAUCUCAGUGGUAUCACUGUAGAAGGGAUCUGUUCUUCCAAGGCUAAGGUGAGGAGGAGCCAAGCCCAGUGGUACUGUUGUGUUCUCUUAGAGUUGAGUCAUGCAGCCUCCUGCCCUUAACCCACCCUGCACACCAGAUCAGAUCACACCUGGGCUUUCUCAGAGUUCCUGAUCCACCCUGACUUUGGCCUCUCACCCCUGGGCUUAUCUGAGUGGUCCCUGCAGGUGAGCUGACUCCUAGGAGGCAGAGUUGGAACCAUAGUUCCAUGUCUGCCUCAGGGUGGUGGCAGUGUGAAGUUGUGGAAAGUCCUGUGGGUCACAGCCGACAUCCUUGCCUCAUCCUCCACAGAAGCAGUGCAAAGCACAGCUCCAAGACCAUCCUCCUCUUCCUGUGUGGCUUUCCUUCUCCAUGUCAGUGAUGACACGUGUUCACUUCAGGUACAGGUGUACUGGCCCCAACUUUACCAAGCCAGCCUCAUCCUCCUUCAAGACACAGCAAGAUUUGCAGGGGUGCUCAGCUGCUGGCCUCAGCUUCCUGUCCAGACACCAUGGAGUGACACCCAGAGAUCCCCUAGACCUGCAUCCUGAGACUUCAGGAGAAACAGGGCCUUGUGGACCAAUUUGUGCUGAGUAUUCCCUGACCCCCGAGCAGGAGCAGUAAUCUCAGAGGAACUUGAUUUUCACCUGUGGCCACAAGGACCUCUCACCUCGAAGAAAUAGUCCAGGGAAAACCAC
rnacentral:lncRNA from 1 species